rnacentral:tRNA from 1 species
GCCCACAUAGCUCAGCAGGUAGAGCACCGCCUUGGUAAGGCGGAGGUCACCAGUUCAAGUCUGGUUGUGGGCACCA